rnacentral:lncRNA from 1 species
AUCAAGCAAUAAAGUUGAACCAACAAAAAAUAACUAACUCCUAACAUGCACAACACAGCUAUACAAAUUUGAAUCUCUAAUUCUUCUCAUCUUUGCAAGCUUGCAAGCACACAAUCCAUUGAGCUCCAUAGAGACUACCAAAUAACAAUCAUACUUACGAAACCACAAUCCAAAGAUUUUUUUCAAAAGCAAAAUUGCAAAACUCAACUCGUGUACACAAAAAAUGAAAAAAUGAAACAAGAAGAAUCUGAUAUAACAAAAUCUUAAUGAGAAAAGAUAUCGACAAAAAUGCUUAGGAAUAUUAUGUUUCCAUUCCAAAGAGCCAAAUAACAAGAGGAAGCUUCAUUCAAAGUCAUGUCCCAUUCUAAAAUCAGCAAGAUGUGAUAUAAUAAGUCCAUACCACUUAAGUUAAAUGCAAUUGUUAUGGAACCAAAUAAUCUUAGUGGACCAAAACCAAACAUGAAAACAAAAUCUCAACAAGAAAAGACAUCUAUAGAGAUGCUUAGGGAUAUUAUUGUUUCCAUUCAACGUGUCAUAUAACAAUUACAUACUAGUUGAGUUAAACACAAUUGUCAUGCCAUAGGAUAAUUUUAGUGUUUCCCCCAAGUAUAACUAUAACAAUGCUAUUUGAGAAAUAAAAAUAGAAGAACUUGGAGGCCAUGCAACAACUACAAAAAAAACAAGCCAAAACUGAUCAAAACCAAUGCAGCAAGUAAACAAAAUGAAGACAAGGACAGCUAGCAAAUAAAGUAAAAGUAAGGCAAUAAGAAAUGAAUAAAGCAACAGCUAACCACAUUCAUUACCAACUCAUUUUACUGAUUGAACAACCCCAAGCUCACAAAUAAAG